rnacentral:lncRNA from 1 species
AAUACAUUUAGUGAAUACUGUAAACUUUUUUAAAUCUUAUUGUGAAUUAUUGUAAAUAGUAAAAAGAUUAUUUUUCUAAAGUACGUCUAUGUCAAAACGUUUAUUUUCAUUUGGAUUAUGUUGGUAUACGGCAAACUUGGUGUGUAUCCUAUGAAAGUCUACAUUAAAUUGCGUAUGGUAAAGUAUUGGUUUGAUGAUGAAAUGUUCACGACAAAGAAAAUUAGUUAUCACAAAUUUUGAAUAAUUUUAAGUUUUUUAGAUAUUCACGAAAUAAUUACAAACCUGAUUUGGUUACAUUUAUAAACAAAAAUGCUAGUUGGAUACUGGUUGUUAUAGUAAUGUCAUGUUGGUACAAACUGAUUUAUGGUAUACGGUAAACUUGGUGUGUAUCCUAUGAAAGUCUUAUAUUUGCCACUGGACGUUAAGCAACCAACAAUCAAUCAAUCUAUUGUAAAUAAUCUUGU